AUUGAACGCUGGCGGCAGGCCUAACACAUGCAAGUCGAGCGGUAGAGAGGUGCUUGCAUCUCUUGAGAGCGGCGGACGGGUGAGUAAUGCCUAGGAAUCUGCCUAGUGGUGGGGGAUAACGUUCGGAAACGGACGCUAAUACCGCAUACGUCCUACGGGAGAAAGCGGGGGAUCUUCGGACCUCGCGCCAUUAGAUGAGCCUAGGUCGGAUUAGCUAGUUGGUGAGGUAAUGGCUCACCAAGGCGACGAUCCGUAACUGGUCUGAGAGGAUGAUCAGUCACACUGGAACUGAGACACGGUCCAGACUCCUACGGGAGGCAGCAGUGGGGGAAUAUUGGACAAUGGGCGAAAGCCUGAUCCAGCCAUGCCGCGUGUGUGAAGAAGGUCUUCGGAUUGUAAGCACUUUAAGUUGGGAGGAAGGGUAGUAACCUAAUACGUUGCUACUUUGACGUUACCGACAG
rnacentral:rRNA from 1 species